rnacentral:lncRNA from 1 species
AUGUCAACGUUGCAAGGAGAAUGAGAUGAAGGUGAGUUUUCACCGUAAAAAAAUGGUGGUUGUUCGGAGACGAGAGAAUGCGGUGUAGAGGUCCGAUAAAGGUUGGUCGGGAGUUUGGAUGAAUGAUGCGUAUGUGGUGUCACCGGAAAAUGGAGUUGUGGUGCAGUAAUGGUGGAGAUGUGUUUGAAGUAGGUUGUUUGUAUGAAGUAACAAUUGCGGAAGUUGGUGAGGAAGGGAGUAUGCGUGGU